rnacentral:rRNA from 1 species
UUGGAAGUAAAAAGUCGUAACAAGGUCUCCGUUGGUGAACCAGCGGAGGGAUCAUUACUGAGUUACCGCUCAUCAACCCUUUGUGAACAUACCUUAACUGUUGCUUCGGCGGGUAGGCGUCCCCUAAAAAGGACGUCUCCCGGCCCUCUCCCGUCCGCGGGUGGGGCGCCCGCCGGAGGAUAACCAAACUCUGAUUUAACGACGUUUCUUCUGAGUGACACAAGCAAAUAAUCAAAACUUUUAACAACGGAUCUCUUGGUUCUGGCAUCGAUGAAGAACGCAGCGAAAUGCGAUAAGUAAUGUGAAUUGCAGAAUUCAGUGAAUCAUCGAAUCUUUGAACGCACAUUGCGCCCGCCAGCAUUCUGGCGGGCAUGCCUGUUCGAGCGUCAUUUCAACCCUCAAGCUCUGCUUGGUGUUGGGGCUCUACGGUUGACGUAGGCCCUUAAAGGUAGUGGCGGACCCUCUCGGAGCCUCCUUUGCGUAGUAACAUUUCGUCUCGCAUUGGGAUUCGGAGGGACUCUAGCCGUAAAACCCCCAAUUUUACUAAGGUUGACCUCGGAUCAGGUAGGAAUACCCGCUGAACUUAAGCAUAUCAAUAAGCGGAGGAA